GUUAUUAGCACCACGC
rnacentral:miRNA from 1 species